rnacentral:lncRNA from 1 species
GUUGGAAGAGCAGGAUAAUCAGCUGGAGACCUUAGCAUGCUGCUUUGCAAAGCUAGGAGGGCGUCUCCCAAGCAGGGCUACCAUUUGAGCUGGAUAUGUCUGUGACUCUGGAAGGGGUGGGUUGAGCACUGUGUCGGACACAACAAAAGGAGUGAGUACUCCCAGGAUUUUGGUCCAGCUCUGGAAGGAGGCAGAAACUUGAUACACUCCCACGGAGCAAUAGCUUCUGGCAGUGUACACAGUGCUCCUCCAGAUGGAUUUUCUCAUGAAGGAACAGCAGAUCGUGAUCCCUUGCUUUGGGGAAAUCAAGCUGCCAUGUUAUCAUCAACAUGCAAUAUGACCUUUCCAGCUUGAACUGAGUGUUACCUGACUCAUCGAGGCAUAACAGAACAGAGUUCAAGGAACUGAUGUCUCCACUAAGAACCACUGAGGACCUGAGGCCUGACAACAGACAUCCCUGCCAGGAAGGUAUUUUUAUAAUUAUCUUCAUGAACUUCUAGGAGAAAUAGAAGCUCAGAGAACUGAAGUGAUUUGCCAAGACAGAGAAAUGGCAAAGACCAAGGUGACGAAGUCAGAGAGGCCAAGGACAAGAUGCAGUUAAUAAGGACAAGCACUCAGAUUCCAACGGAGGGGCCAGCAACUCCACAAGCAUUCCAUGGGAUAGCACAUAACUGGAUCAUUAAAAAAAGAAAAACCUGUUCUGCCAGUCUCUGCCUUUGGAUUGGAGUGUUGAAUCCAUUUACAUUUAAUGUAAUUACUGAUAAGAUCAAAAAGGAGCCACUAAAAAGCCAUAUCGCAGCCUUGCUGGAGGAGCCUUCUCUUUUCACUGAGAACAUAAGAAUUUGCAGCAUUUUUGGAGGAGGCCAAGCCUUACUUGCAGGAAGAUAGCACCAAUUAUAUGGACACAUUUUUAAGGAAUUAACCCUAAAGGAAACACCAACAUUCUUAGUGACAUAAGUGACUUGGUAGAUUACAGAAUAGUGAUGAGAAAUAUGAAUUCAUAGCAUAAUUCAUUUCAAUAACUCGGCAAAGUGAGAGAAGAGGAAACAGAAAGAGACAGAGAAAGAGAAAGAAGAAGGGAGGGAGGGCAUUUGUGUAUGUGUGUGUGCGUGCACGCUCCAUCUGUGCCUGAAAUUUGUUCCAUAUUUGCUUGGAGUCCCAAUUGUUUAGGGGGAUCCAUAGUAGAUGAGCCUGUUCCAGGACUCAUGGAAAAUAGUUCCCUUCUGCAUUGUUUGGAGCUGGACUCUGCCAGUGGUGGAAGAAAACUUUUAAACACAAUUACACUAUCAAGAUGUACAGUGAGUGAGUCAAAGGCCUGGACCAGCCUGGCCUGAGAUGAUAGAAUCAGAGGUAGGUCAUAAAUCUCCAGCUGCCUUAGAGUGUACGCCACA